rnacentral:lncRNA from 1 species
AGACAAAAUUUGGAUGCCACAUGCAGUGCGGCUCAGUGCAAUACGCCGACGCCCGAGGCACUCAUGUAGUAAGUGAGGUGAGGAGCACAGGGGCAUGAAAUUAACCGGCAUCACGAAUGCAUGCCGUCACGUUGAGGAGGUCGACGUUGCUUGAACCUUGCCCGAGGAAGCCCCACUCAAUUAUGCGUUUGACACAGGACGGUUUAUUCCUGGGAUCGUCGCCGAACGUGUGUGAUUUAUUUCAAGAGGUCAAGCAAUUAGUCACACAUCGUUGGAAGCGAUGCUGCGGUGCCGAAGUGAUACAAUGAGUGUAAGAUGAACCUUUCUCGUAAGACUCGAAGAAGCAAUCUGUGUGUUUCCAUUUCGGUCGGAAAGAAAGAUGAGGUCGCCCUUGGCCAGAGGAAGCCUUCGUCAAAUUAGGGUUUGGUUCUAAAAUGUUCGAUGGUUUUUUAGGUACUAUGAGGAGCUCUAGCAUGUUAGUAUACUAUACCCAUGACUCUUUUUCUUUGUUUUUUUAAAAAGUAGCUUUGGCCAAUUAUUCAAAACUUUAUAUGUUAUUAAAACUAAGAUAAUAAUAUAGGUAGGGGAAUAUUAAAUAGGCUCAUGCUUUUACUUAAUUGAUCCACAUAUCAUGAAGAAAAAAAAGAAAAAAGAAAAAAGAAAUGAAGUCUAGAU